GUUCUCACAAACCCUAGGUCCCUAACCCUUUUCUAUUCCCCGUGCACUGUGCAGCCAUGCGGCCGUGUUGUGCGAGGGCUUGGAGUUGGAAGCACCGAGCACGCGAGUCCGAGAGGAGGGGAAAAUCGCCGCGGUUAGGAGGAGGGGAAGAAGAUCGCCCCGAGUCUGAGAAGAGGGGAAGACGAAGAUCACCGCGGUUAGGAGGAGGGGAAGAUCGCCGUGUUCUUCCGAUGAAGUGAGAGCUUCGUUACUUUUUUUCCUUCUUUGUGAAGUUGUUGCUCUUCUGGUCCUCGGUGUUCUCCGAUUCCGGCUUCUUUCUUCGGUGGAGUGAGAGCUUGGAACCCUAGGAUCGUUAGAUCGGACGGUGGAUCGGCCCAGAAAAUAGAGUUGAGAACCGUUUCUUGGAUAGGAGAGGUGGAAGCUCCUGGAAUUAGCUGGAUCUCUCUCAUUGCCGAAAGCAAUUCCAUUUACUUGGAUCUUAAAUAAGAUUAUCAUCUACCUCAUGUUUGUGAAUCUGCACUGUAAUACUAAUUUGGUAAAAGAUGCCUUUCAUGAUUUUCAAAAGCUUUGGAUUAUAUUGACAAAAUUGUCCUUGUCUUUUCUCCAGGAUGCUUACGGGUACCAUUUAUGGAUUACUGAUGUUUGUCUUUGCUUGUUAAAUUAGAUAGAGAUUGUACCAAUAAGCUGCAACCUUACUUCAGUGAAGCGUGUCCUUUGCAGGCAAAAAUUUUCAAGGUGAAAUUGUUGUUAACAUUGAAAGACUACUCAAGUGCUAUUUCACUAUUUCAGCGACUGGAUACAUACUUAAACAAGAUGAAGAUAAUUUGGAGGCACUACUGCUUCGUGGCCAUUCUUAUUAUUAUCUCUCAGACUAUGAUGUUGCUACAUGGUUUGACUUAUGAAAAUUCCUAUACAGAAUUACAGAUAUAUGUAAAAGGUUUCAAACCUUGUGUCAUAUGUGUACUCUUUUGCACUUUGCUGCAAUGAUGUUCUCCUUUUAUUUAAGCUGCAGUUAUUAGCUCAACUCUGCAGAUUAUCACUUCCAAACAUUUGCAAUGUCUAA